rnacentral:rRNA from 1 species
CCUACGGGUGGCAGCAGUGGGGAAUAUUGGACAAUGGGCGAAAGCCUGAUCCAGCCAUGCCGCGUGUGUGAAGAAGGCCUUCGGGUUGUAAAGCACUUUCAGUGGGGAAGAAAGCCUUGGGGCUAAUACCCUCGAGGAAGGACAUCACCCACAGAAGAAGCACCGGCUAACUCCGUGCCAGCAGCCGCGGUAAUACGGAGGGUGCGCGCGUUAAUCGGAAUUACUGGGCGUAAAGCGCGCGUAGGCGGUCUGAUAAGCCGGUUGUGAAAGCCCCGGGCUCAACCUGGGAACGGCAUCCGGAACUGUCAGGCUAGAGUGCAGGAGAGGAAGGUAGAAUUCCCGGUGUAGCGGUGAAAUGCGUAGAGAUCGGGAGGAAUACCAGUGGCGAAGGCGGCCUUCUGGACUGACACUGACGCUGAGGUGCGAAAGCGUGGGUAGCAAACAGGAUUAGAUACCCUAGUAGUC